rnacentral:lncRNA from 1 species
ACCUCUAGGCACAGCUAAAGAAAUGUGUUACUGACAAGCCUGCAGGCCACAUGGCGAGAUGGAAAGCAAGCAGUAAAGACCAAAGAAACUCGUUGAGGACAAUGGAAGAUGGGCUCAGAAGAAAAUGGAUACAGCUGAAGCUAGAUGGGUCAUGGGUGAAAGCAGGACAGGACCUCAUUCUCCAACAGAUACCAAAGGAAAACCAGAGUUGGGCUGUCUGAGUCCUUGGGCCACAUGAGCUGGGAAGGUACAGGUUAUUGGGCUCACCAAAGAACCAAGACCAGGACAUGGGGUACGUAUUUCAGAUCUCAGCUCAAAUUUCCUUUCUUUCAGGAGACCUUUCCCAGCCCAACAAUUGCCUAGGGGUCCCUGUUAAAUGUUUCCUUGCACUUUCUCCAGCGUAACAGUUAUUGCUCCUGAUGCCAUUGCCUGUCUCAGGCUGUCAACUCCAUGAAGGUGGAGAGUGCCUCACUUGCUUAUUGCUGUACACCAGUGCUCAGAAUUGUGCAGAGCAAGAGCAGGGAGUCUCUCAGAACCUGGGGUUCUGAGGAGCACAGUCUGAAAAUCACUGAAGAAUGAUUGGCUGGGGUCAAAUUUUUGAGAAGGAAGCUACCACAUUCCCUUUCCCUGCAUUUCAAAUUCAGCUAACUGUACUUGCUGUGGCUGAGAGAGCCAAUGUCCAACUCCUGAGACCCCUCAGCUCUAUGGUAUCAAGCUUGUUGGUGCUGGUGGCUGGGACAGGCAAGGGAUACCUGAUCCCACUGGAGUAUCCUCAGGGCAAUAUUCAGCAGCAGGGCAGAAGCAGGGAAGAUGACAUGAGAAACUCUUCCUCCCUUAUAGUAGAUGCAGGCUGGAGCCAUCAUGCCCUUCCUGCCAAAAUUCAGGGCUGGCAAAUACUACUACUUCCCUAGCCAGUGCCCAUGGCAGACAUCACCAACUUUAUCACAGCACAGUUUCCUGCUGAGCCUGGAAGCCCCUCCCAAUCCUUCUCCAUCUGGCACCAAGGAUGAAACCUAUUUGUUAUCCCAGGUCCAGGUGAUUUUAUCCAAGCUAGCUGCUGGGAUCAGGAAGGUCAGACAUCCAAAUGCUGGUGAGGGACUUUGCUUUCUCACAUAGAUGUGGAAGGUGUGCAUUAUUCCUGGACCCUUUUCAAGCUGACAACUGGUCUCUCUGAGCCUCCUGCACUUAUUUUCAUAUGCUAUAAAUCACCCGUUUCACCUUGCUCCUUUCAUGGGCACGCCUCCCUGCUUAAUUGCAGGUGAUAGUUGGGCUCCAGGAAAGGCCCAAUUAGGCUGCAGCAAUCAUCUUCCUCUUAAUUUAAAACAACUAAUAGGACAUUGGUUCUCCUUCACACUGGGAGAUGAGCCCAGAAGGGUCCAGUACAGUCAUCAUGGCAGGAAGGUUACAUUUCCAUUUGCUUGGUUCCUUUCUCUUCAUCUUUAAGGCAAUUAUGAGCCCAAAGGCAUCUAGAUGUAGUUAUAAGCCUGGCUAAAUUAUCAUUUUAAGUGUCUUGAACACAGGGGUCAAGGUUUUGGAAAAUACUUUCACCAACUCCAGUUGGUGCCCAGGGUUACACUCCACACAACAGGUGAAGUGUCAAAGCUGCAGGCGUAAGGGAAUUACUGCCUAAGUAGUUCAAGUUAAACAUCAUCUACUUUCUGAAAAGUCUGCAUAACUUUCAGAUGAAGUGGAAUUACAAAAUCAAUAACCUCUGAAUUGCUCAAAUCAUAUCCAGUGGUAUCAGCCAUGUGGAAUAGCAGAGAAUGACAAAGGACACAAAAAAGGCCCCCAAACAAUACAAACAGAUGCCGUAAAGUCCCACAUUCAGAUUCACAGACUGAACAGCAGGGGAUCCCUCUAGUUCCUCUCUUAGAGCUUAUUUACUCCAAGUUUACAAACAAUUCUAAUGAGCACAGAUAAGCCUCAUUUGCAGAUAAUGGCACAUGAUGCAAAGCACACUUAAGGGUGGGCAUAUUACUAGAUGUGGGGACAUUAACAGCAAUAUUGAGUGGCCACUAGAAGCAAAGUCAGAAAAAAAAUAUACUGGGCCAUGAUAGUAACUCCAAAAAUUAUAGUAGUUUGGAGAUAUUUCACAAUAUAAGGUCAAUAAUCCUACAAGCCAUGAGAGUUCAUCCUACAAAUGCCAUUUUAGUAUAAUGAGGCAUCAUAAGGAUACUGAAUCAUUCAUAAAAGGCAAAUUACAUUGUAUACUCUUUUAACGGAGGAGAGGGAAGAUAGCAUUCAUUUCAGAAAUAUUUUUAUGCCAAGCUGCAUAUAUUUUUAAAUGUUUUGGAAAUUAAAGGGGUAAGACUUGGUCAUCUGGAAAAUUAAUAAA